rnacentral:rRNA from 1 species
AGUGAACGCUGGCGGUAGGCCUAACGCAUGCAAGUCGAACGGCAGCACAGUAAGAGCUUGCUCUUACGGGUGGCGAGUGGCGGACGUGUGAGGAAUACAUCGGAAUCUACUUUUUCGUGGGGGAUAACGUAGGGAAACUUACGCUAAUACCGCAUACGACCUACGGGUGAAAGCAGGGGAUCUUCGGACCUUGCGCGAUUGAAUGAGCCGAUGUCGGAUUAGCUAGUUGGCGGGGUAAAGGCCCACCAAGGCGACGAUCCGUAGCUGGUCUGAGAGGAUGAUCAGCCACACUGGAACUGAGACACGGUCCAGACUCCUACGGGAGGCAGCAGUGGGGAAUAUUGGACAAUGGGCGCAAGCCUGAUCCAGCCAUACCGCGUGGGUGAAGAAGGCCUUCGGGUUGUAAAGCCCUUUUGUUGGGAAAGAAAAGCAGCAGGUUAAUACCCCGCUGUUCUGACGGUACCCAAAGAAUAAGCACCGGCUAACUUCGUG